UUUUUUCUGGAGAUUUUCCUUGUGAAGAUUUUCCUUGUGAAUGCAGAACCUUCUGGUUUGGAUGGGAUAGACGAACGACCUCAUACGACACUUGAUUUCAUUGCCCUCAUAAAAAUGCAACAUGGAAUACAAUUAGAAGCUGAAUUCUGUUGACAGCUGAAUAACACUGCUACUUGCAGUAUGAUUACAACAGUGUCUACCUUCGUUUUCAAAUCCAAUUUGCAUUUAACAAAAUGAAAGAUGAAAGCAACCUAGCUGAAAGUGCAUCAUCAGCACCAGCUUGCUGAAUAAUGGAUAUGAAAGACUGGAGAGAAGUCACCAAACUAGUUACAGUGUUGGAGAGAAUAUAGGGCAGGGAAACUUCAACAUGACUUAUUGCAAGCUGAUGACAUAAAUCAUCCAGGAAAGGCCAGUGAAGACCAGCUACUGAGCUUAUUUAUUGUAGAAGAGAUUGGCAUUAAUGAGCUGGAGAAGAAUGCAUUCAUCUGGGAUGAAAAUACCAUUGCGUCCUUCAAGAUAAUGAUGACCAUCCAGAGAAUGCUAUUGCUGAUGUGUCCAGAAAGACACCUUGCUCCAAAACACAAGAGUGUUUUGUGAUGACUGCAAUGCCAUACCAAAAUAUUACAGUACAUCUCAGUGCAGCACCAGGAAACAAAAGAAAUGAAAACAGUCCAGCUAUGAUAGCGUGGACUAAUCCAACACAACGACAAGUUCAACAGGCCUAUUUUGGUGAUGGAAAUGGGCGGGGGAUGAUAUAGCUUUUGCUACUUCUACAGCUUGACUUUACUAUGUGUUUUUCUCUGACUUUGACUGCAUUUCUGUAGAGCUGCAGUGGGUGUAAGGGUUGCAGGGAGAAGCUUGCAGCAGUAUUACUGAAAAAUGUAAUGGUAGUAAUUAAAAGAUCAGUCCCUAAUG
ensembl:lncRNA